rnacentral:rRNA from 1 species
UACGUAGGGUGCAAGGGUUGUCCGGAAUUAUUGGGCGUAAAGAGCUCGUUGGCGGUUCGUCGCGUCGGCUGUGAAAACCCGGAGCUCAACUCCGGGCCUGCAGUCGAUACGGGCGGACUCGAGUUCGGCAGGGGAGACUGGAAUUCCUGGUGUAGCGGUGAAAUGCGCAGAUAUCAGGAGGAACACCGGUGGCGAAGGCGGGUCUCUGGGCCGAUACUGACGCUGAGGAGCGAAAGCGUGGGGAGCGAACAGG